rnacentral:rRNA from 1 species
GGGUCAGUAGGUUGGUCGUGCCACCGGUACGUACUGGUCUCACUGAUUCCUCCUUCCUGAAGAACCGUAAUGCCAUUAAAUUGGUGUUGCGGGAAAACAGGACUGUUACUUUGAAAAAAUUAGAGUGUUUAAAGCAAGCUAACGCUUGAAUACAUUAGCAUGGAAUAAUGAAAUAGGACGAUCGAUCCUAUUUUGUUGGUUUCUAGGAUUGACGUA